rnacentral:rRNA from 1 species
GAUGAACGCUGGCGGCGUGCCUAAUACAUGCAAGUCGAGCGAAUGGAUUAAGAGCUUGCUCUUAUGAAGUUAGCGGCGGACGGGUGAGUAACACGUGGGUAACCUGCCCAUAAGACUGGGAUAACUCCGGGAAACCGGGGCUAAUACCGGAUAACAUUUUGAACCGCAUGGUUCGAAAUUGAAAGGCGGCUUCGGCUGUCACUUAUGGAUGGACCCGCGUCGCAUUAGCUAGUUGGUGAGGUAACGGCUCACCAAGGCAACGAUGCGUAGCCGAGCUGGGAGGGUGAUCGGCCACACUGGGAAUGAGACACGGCCCAGACUCCUACGGGAGGCAGCAGUAGGGAAUCUUCCGCAAUGGACGAAAGUCUGACGGAGCAACGCCGCGUGAGUGAUGAAGGCUUUCGGGUCGUAAAACUCUGUUGUUAGGGAAGAACAAGUGCUAGUUGAAUAAGCUGGCACCUUGACGGUACCUAACCAGAAAGCCACGGCUAACUACGUGCCAGCCGCCGCGGUAA